rnacentral:rRNA from 1 species
UACGUAGGGGGCGAGCGUUGUCCGGAUUUAUUGGGCGUAAAGAGCUCGUAGGCGGUUCGGUAAGUCGGAUGUGAAAUCUCCACGCUCAACGUGGAGGGGCCAUUCGAUACUGCCGUGACUCGAGUCCGGUAGGGGAGUGUGGAAUUCCCGGUGUAGAGGUGAAAUGCGCAGAGAUCGGGAGGAACACCCGUAGCGAAGGCGGCACUCUGGGCCGGUACUGACGCUGAGGAGCGAAAGCGUGGGGAGCGAACAGG